rnacentral:rRNA from 1 species
UAAUACGGAGGGGGCUAGCGUUGUUCGGAAUUACUGGGCGUAAAGGGCGCGUAGGCGGAUUGUCAAGUCAGAGGUGAAAGCCCUGGGCUCAACCUGGGAACUGCCUUUGAAACUAACGGUCUAGAGUCCGAGAGAGGAUGGCGGAAUUCCCAGUGUAGAGGUGAAAUUCGUAGAUAUUGGGAAGAACACCAGUGGCGAAGGCGGCCAUCUGGCUCGGUACUGACGCUGAGGCGCGAAAGCGUGGGGAGCAAGCAGGAUUAGAUACCCUGGUAGUCCACGCCGUAAACGAUGUGUGCUAGCCGUUGGGAAACCUAGUUUUUCAGUGGCGCAGCUAACGCAUUAAGCACACCGCCUGGGGAGUACGGUCGCAAGAUUA